rnacentral:rRNA from 1 species
UACGUAGGCAGCAAGCGUUGUUCGGAGUUACUGGGCGUAAAGAGUGCGUAGGCGGUUUCGUAAGUUUGGUGUGAAAUCUCCCGGCUCAACCGGGAGGGUGCGCCGAAAACUGGGGGGCUAGAGUGCGGGAUGGGAAAGUGGAAUUCCUGGUGUAGCGGUGAAAUGCGUAGAUAUCAGGAGGAACACCGGUGGUGUA